GGAGUAUGAGUACCGACUAAGACUGUACCAUGAUGCUCUGAUGGUUGAAUUAUACUACAAUGGGAAAAAACUAUGUGUGGAUGCAGCAAAAGAGGAUGACUCCUUUGGCAGACUUGUCAAUGAUGACAAUAUAGACCCAAACUGUUGAAGGAAAACCUCAUCUGUGUUUGUUUGCCAUCAAGGACAUCAGGCCAGGGGAGGAGAUCACAUACAACUAUGGAGACUCAGACUGGCCGUGGAGAUCAAAGAUUUCAACGGAGACAGAGGAUCACCAUGCCGUCGUGAUAUGUGACAGCCUCAAAGAUGUUGAACAGAUAUCAACUGAGGCAGAGGGUCACCAUGUGGUUGUGGCAUCUGACAGCCUCAAAGAUGUUGAAAAGAUUUCAACUGAUGUAGAGGAUCACCAUGCUGCCGUGGUAUCGGACAGACUCAAAGAUUUUGAACAGGUAUUGGAUGAGAGAGAUUCUCCUACCAUGCCUCCUCUCCUUUCUUGUCCAGACAUGACAAUUCCUGAUUGUCACUCGGACAAUAUUCAUCAAAACUGCAAACACGAUGUGGUUUCCUCAGUAGUUCCAAGCUUCGAGAAAUGUGCCGUGUGCAACGGACCCUUUUCUGCCUUGAGAUGGCUUAGUAUUAAAGCUUUGACCACCUUGAAUGAGGAACACUUUAACAAGCCAUCUACCCUGCCAUUCACAGAAGAUCUGCAAUGUCUCCAUUGACAGGCCACCUGUUGAGGAACCUCCAGGCACCUCAGACGAUAUUGACUCUUCCCUAGAAGGCACAUCUACAGUGUUCAACGAAUACAUAGACAGGGUGAACAAAGAGCAUGGCAGGACAGCAGAGGAGCAUGACCAACCUGUGUCUCCUGGAGAUUGCCCGGAGAGACAGAAUCAAAGAAGGAAACGGAAAAGGCAGUGGUUCCCAAAAGAGGUUGCCGCUAUAAUGAGACAUUUUAAAAAGCACAUUGCCAAGGGAAAACUGGCCACAAGAAUGCAGUGCAAGAACGCUGAACAUCCUGAUCUUGAUAAGCGGUCACUUCAAAACAUUAGAGUCUUUGUUAGAAAUCGGGGCAUAACUCUGAAAAAGAAAACCAGCCAAUAAAGUGUUAUGUUGCUGUUAUGAUGCAAUGAUGUUGUAGUUCUUUGUUCUUAAAAAAGGGCAAGUUUCUGCUGAUG